GGUGCUGUCAACCCACCUGUCGGAGGAGGCGCCUGUCGACCAAUCACAGCACGGCGACGCCGUCACGCCACUGCGUGCCAGUCAAUCAGGAAUGCCCGUUGCCGAGACCGUGUUUCGCCAGUCCCGAGUCAACCUGGGGAUGGCCACUGGAGGCGGGGACGUGGCUGAGGCCGCCACUGCGGUCCUGGCGGGCUACCAGGACCCCAGGCUUUCGGCGGCCGACGGCGGCUGGCAGCCGGACCGGGACAGCCUGGGCCGCUCGGUGCAGGGCCGGGCGGCGCUGCUUCGGG